rnacentral:lncRNA from 1 species
GGCCCUUGGCUGUGCUGACGCGCUGAGAUGCGGACGGAGAAUCUGAAAAGGCCUCACUGAGUCGCACGAGAGAACAUUCCGGAGGAAACCUCUGAGUGGGGAGGUAAGCAUUCCCAGGUUCCUGAUCAUUACCUUUGCUUGUAAUUUUUUGGCUAAGCGUUCUUACUGCCAUGUCAUUGGGUGAGGUUAGAUGCAUCAAAUGAUGAAGAAAAUGGAACACGGAGACCCAGGUAGGACACUGUGCUAAGAUACACAGAUGAGCCAUUUGGAGCUGGGGUGAGGAGAG